UUAUAUGUUAUUACCACAAAAGACAUGAUUGGUAAAUAGUUUUUAGGUUGUUAUUUGACACAAAAAAGAACAAGAUUUUAGUGUUGAAACCAUACCGGAAAACUGUAUGGAUAUUGUUAAAUUUCCAAUGGAUGCGUAGGCACAUAAAUACUCACUGCCUCUUAUCCACUAUUUGUUUGCUGAUGUAUACUAACCACUAUAAACGUACGAAUUAAGUACAGUUUACAUUUCAACUCCAUUUUGCAUUAUACGAAUUGCUUUUACUUUAUAACUAUGCUUUUAUUUGGUCUCAGACAAAAAAAAAUCAAAUCAACAUUUCUCUACAUGAUUUAAUUGAAUUUGAUUCAUUUAUCCAAUUUCUCAAUUACGUAUUUGUUUUGUUAGUUUGUACAUUGAAAAGUGCAUUUAUCAAAGUCGACAAUUCGACAAGCUUAAAUUCAAGUUUGUGGGAUUGCAACCCUUCGGAAAUAUCCACAAAGGAGUAGAAUGAUUUCUACUAAAUAUAAAUGAUACUAUACACUAUGCAAAAAAAUUGUUCUUUUAUUUUUUGUAAGAAAUUUAGUUCUCUACAAUAUUGUCCUCUUGACUUUUUUUCGUAAAAUUGAAAAUAACAAAGUUAUUGAUAAAAAACGACGAAAAUUGAAACAGCAAAUUCCUUCAAGUGGUUAUAACUUUUUUUCUUUUCAUUUUUCCGGAAAAUAGGUCAAGAUCAAAUUGGUAAAGAAUUUUGAGACAAAUAAAUUUCAUCCUCCAUUUUUCCAAUAGCGUUUAUUUUGAAGAUUUUACGGCGUCUCAAAAUUGACAAUAUCACUUGUGCGAAAUAUUUCAGUUGAAAGCCUACACAUCGUUUUUCCGUUGUAACAGGAAAACUAUAUUUCCCGUGAAAAUAUUGUUCAAUUAUUUUUUGUAAGAAAUUUAGUUCUGUACAAUAUUGCCCCCUUGACUUUUUUUCGUAAAAUUGAAAAUAACAAAGUUAUUGAUAAAAAACGAUGAAAAUUGAAACAGCAAAUUCCUUCAAGUGGCUAUAACUUUUUUCUUUUUCAUUUUUCCGGAAAAUAGGUCUAGACCGAUUUGGUAGAGAAUUUUGAUACUAAUAAAUUUCCUCCAUUCUUCCAAUUGCGGAUAUCAUAAGAAUUUCACAGCGCCUCAAAUUUGACAAUAUCAAUUGUGCGAAAUAUUUCAGUUGAAAGCCUACACAUCGUUUUUCUGUUAUAACAGGAAAACUAUUUUUCCCGCAAAAAUAUUGCUCAAUAACUUUUUGGAAAAAAUUUAAUUCUCUACAAUAUUGUCCCCUGACUUUUUUUCGUAAAAUUGAAAAUAACAAAGUAAUUAACAUAAAACAAUAUUAAUUACUUUAAAUCGCUAAAUGUUCAUCUUAAAACGCAAAAAAUGGACAAAUAAAAAUUUGCAAUGACUUUGUUAUUUUCAAUUUUGCGAAAAAAGUUGAGAGAGAAAAUUUAUAGAGAAUUUAAUUUCCUACAAAAAAUAAUAAAAUAAUUAAUAUUUUUACGCGGUGUAUAGUUGUAUUGCUAUUUUUCAAAAACUUCACUCCUUUCACAAAAUUUCGCAAGCCCACAAAUUUGGUUUCAAGUUUCGUAUACAAUCCCCUAUGGAUAAAAAAAAUUAAUAACUCUGAUAAAUGCAAGGUUAGGGCAUAUUUUUGUAACAUUCCAAUGGGCUAAGUACACAGUACUUCAUACUGUGUCUCCAAUAACAUUUAGUACAAAUGGAUACACAUGUUAAAACAGUUUAUUCUAACUGAGUAAUAGACUAUAUUUUCUCCACGACAAGUUUCAAAAUCUGAAUUUCUGACAAAUGUCAUAGAAAGAUGUCACUUUUUUUAAUCAAUAUUCAUUUUAAUGGGUGAUAAAACGCACUAUUGGUCUAGUUUAUGCAGUAUACAGUACAGUAAGGAUAAAUAACCACUGAUGUUUAGUGCUUUAUAUUAACUUUGAUGACAAGAACAGGGAAAGACUUCGGAGGUGGUUUACAAGAAUGUUUGGAAAAGCUGCCAAAUUUGAUUAAUAUGAAUAAGAAGUAAAAAAAUUGAAAAAAUAUAUUUAUUUAGAAGACAAUAAGUGAGUGAGAGUCUUUAGAAGAUCUGCCGUUUUUUACUUCACCACUUCCAUUGACUCAAAUCGGGUUCCUUUCAAAGCAGAUCUUUUUUCUAACCUUUCAAGGAAAUCUGAGCAGACCCGUUGACGUAAGAGCUUUUGGUCAGUAGUCAGAUUUUUGUCAUGUGUAAUUCCUCGUGUAAAAUUUUUCUAACCGUUUCUUUAUCAGUGUUGGCAGCCUCGGCAUCAUCCGGAUGCUCAUUCGACGAUUAGCACGUACAAUUUGGUGGAUUUCGGUCACUGUUCCCGGAGUUGAAAAAAUCACAGGACGCCCUGGGCACUAGUCAUCUUCAGUGCUCUUUCGGCCCUCACUGAAGCGCUUACACCACUCAAAAACACGGGCACGAGAUAGAGAAUUGUCACCAUAGGCCUCUUACAAUAAUUUAUAGCAGUCAGUCGGAGUUUUUUUCAAUUUAAUACGUUCGUUUCAACGGCACCAAUACUAUAAUAGUGAUGGAAACGUGUUUUGGGACGUGCAUUGACAAGAUACCCAUCUAGGUCGUCCUCUAGGCGAACAGUCUCGUUAUUUAAUAGCCAGACCUCGUAUGUUGGACCAAAGACCAAUAAACAACAUAUAUAGAAAGUAAAAA